GACGAACGCUGGCGGCGUGCCUAAUACAUGCAAGUCGAACGCAGUGGGGACGGGUGAGUAACACGUGGGUAACCUCCCAUCAGAGGGGAUAACACUUGGAAACAGGUGCUAAACCGAUACUGCUGGAUGGACCCGCGGGGCAUUGGCUAGUUGGUGAGGUAACGGCUCAUCAAGGCCACGAUGCAUAGCACACCUGAGAGGGUGUUCUGCCGCACUGGGACUGAGACACGGCCCAGACUCCUACGGGAGGCAGCAGUAGGGAAUCUUCGGCGAUCGACGCAAGCCUGAUGCAGCCAUGCCGCGUGUAUGAAGAAUGCCUUCGGGUUGUAAAGUACUUUCAGCGGGGAUGCGUUGCCCGCAGUAGAAGCACCGGCUAACUCCGUGCCAGCAGCCGCGGUAAUUC
rnacentral:rRNA from 1 species